rnacentral:rRNA from 1 species
ACGAACGCUGGCGGCGUGCCUAAUCCAUGCAAGUAGAACGCUGAAGGAGGAGCUUGCUCUUCUGGAUGAGUUGCGAACGGGUGAGUAACGCGUAGGUAACCUGCCUGGUAGCGGGGGAUAACUAUUGGAAACGAUAGCUAAUACCGCAUAAGAGUAGAUGUUGCAUGACAUUUGCUUAAAAGGUGCAAUUGCAUCACUACCAGAUGGACCUGCGUUGUAUUAGCUAGUUGGUGGGGUAACGGCUCACCAAGGCGACGAUACAUAGCCGACCUGAGAGGGUGAUCGGCCACACUGGGACUGAGACACGGCCCAGACUCCUACGGGAGGCAGCAGUAGGGAAUCUUCGGCAAUGGACGGAAGUCUGACCGAGCAACGCCGCGUGAGUGAAGAAGGUUUUCGGAUCGUAAAGCUCUGUUGUAAGAGAAGAACGAGUGUGAGAGUGGAAAGUUCACACUGUGACGGUAUCUUACCAGAAAGGGACGGCUAACUACGUG